rfam:Methanococcus maripaludis strain S2, complete sequence.
AUUCCGGUUGAUCCCGCCGGAGGCCACUGCUAUUGGGAUUCGACUAAGCCAUGCGAGUCUAUGGUUUCGGCCAUGGCGGACGGCUCAUUAACACGUGGUUAACAUACCCUCAGGUGGGGGAUAACCUUGGGAAACUGAGGAUAAUACCCCAUAGAAAAAGCAGUCUGGAACGAUUCUUUUUCGAAAGCAUAUGCGCCUGAGGAUUGGACUGCGCUCGAUUAGGUAGUUGGUGGGGUAAUGGCCCACCAAGCCUACGAUCGGUACGGGCCUUGAGAGAGGAAGCCCGGAGAUGGGGACUGAGACACGGCCCCAGGCCCUACGGGGCGCAGCAGGCGCGAAACCUCCGCAAUGCACGAAAGUGCGACGGGGGGAUCCCAAGUGCUCAUGCACAGCAUGGGCUUUUAUCAAGUGUAAACAGCUUGAGGAAUAAGGGCUGGGCAAGUUCGGUGCCAGCAGCCGCGGUAACACCGACGGCCCGAGUGGUGGCCACUUUUAUUGGGCCUAAAGCGUCCGUAGCCGGUCCAGUAAGUCCUUGUUUAAAUCCUGCGGCUUAACCGCAGGACUGGCAGGGAUACUGCUGGACUUGGGACCGGGAGAGGACAAGGGUACUUCAGGGGUAGCGGUGAAAUGUGUUGAUCCUUGAAGGACCACCUAUGGCGAAGGCACUUGUCUGGAACGGGUCCGACGGUGAGGGACGAAAGCCAGGGGCGCGAACCGGAUUAGAUACCCGGGUAGUCCUGGCCGUAAACUUUGCGAACUAGGUGUUAGGUGGGCCCCGUGCCCAUCUAGUGCCGAAGGGAAGCCGUUAAGUUCGCCGCCUGGGGAGUACGGUCGCAAGACUGAAACUUAAAGGAAUUGGCGGGGGAGCACCACAACGGGUGGAGCCUGCGGUUUAAUUGGAUUCAACGCCGGGCAUCUCACCAGGAGCGACAGCAUGAUGACGGCCAGGUUGACGACCUUGCCUGAAGCGCUGAGAGGUGGUGCAUGGCCAUCGUCAGCUCGUACCGCGAGGCGUCCUGUUAAGUCAGGUAACGAGCGAGACCCGUGCCCUAUGUUGCUACUUUUUCCUCCGGGAGAAAGGCACUCAUAGGGGACCGCUGGCGCUAAGUCAGAGGAAGGAGCGGGCAACGAUAGGUCCGCAUGCCCCGAAUCUCCUGGGCUACACGCGGGCUACAAUGGCUAGGACAAUGGGCCGCAACCCUGAAAAGGGACGCAAAUCUCCUAAACCUAGUCGUAGUUCGGAUCGUGGGCUGUAACUCGCCCACGUGAAGCUGGAAUCCGUAGUAAUCGCAGUUCAUAAUACUGCGGUGAAUGUGUCCCUGCUCCUUGCACACACCGCCCGUCACACCACCCGAGUUGGGUUGAAGUGAGGCCUUGGCCUUUGGCUAGGGUCGAACUUGGGCUCAGCGAGGGGGGUGAAGUCGUAACAAGGUAGCCGUAGGGGAACCUGCGGCUGGAUCACCUCCU